UAAUGCAAGUCGAGCGAACUGAUUAGAAGCUUGCUUCUAUGACGUUAGCGGCGGACGGGUGAGUAACACGUGGGCAACCUGCCUGUAAGACUGGGAUAACUUCGGGAAACCGAAGCUAAUACCGGAUAGGAUCUUCUCCUUCAUGGGAGAUGAUUGAAAGAUGGUUUCGGCUAUCACUUACAGAUGGGCCCGCGGUGCAUUAGCUAGUUGGUGAGGUAACGGCUCACCAAGGCAACGAUGCAUAGCCGACCUGAGAGGGUGAUCGGCCACACUGGGACUGAGACACGGCCCAGACUCCUACGGGAGGCAGCAGUAGGGAAUCUUCCGCAAUGGACGAAAGUCUGACGGAGCAACGCCGCGUGAGUGAUGAAGGCUUUCGGGUCGUAAAACUCUGUUGUUAGGGAAGAACAAGUACAAGAGUAACUGCUUGUACCUUGACGGUACCUAACCAGAAAGCCACGGCUAACUACGUGCCAGCAGCCGCGGUAAUACGUAGGUGGCAAGCGUUAUCCGGAAUUAUUGGGCGUAAAGCGCGCGCAGGCGGUUUCUUAAGUCUGAUGUGAAAGCCCACGGCUCAACCGUGGAGGGUCAUUGGAAACUGGGGAACUUGAGUGCAGAAGAGAAAAGCGGAAUUCCACGUGUAGCGGUGAAAUGCGUAGAGAUGUGGAGGAACACCAGUGGCGAAGGCGGCUUUUUGGUCUGUAACUGACGCUGA
rnacentral:rRNA from 2 species